AAAACGACUCUCGGCAACGGAUAUCUCGGCUCUCGCAUCGAUGAAGAACGNAGCGAAAUGCGAUACUUGGUGUGAAUUGNAGAAUCCCGUGAACCAUCGAGUCUUUGAANGNAAGUUAUGCCCAAAGCCGUCAGGCCAAGGACACGUCUACCUGGGCNUCAUGC
rnacentral:rRNA from 1 species